AUCCAUAGGUUAAUGAGGCGAACCGGGGGAACUGAAACAUCUAAGUACCCCGAGGAAAAGAAAUCAACCGAGAUUCCCCCAGUAGCGGCGAGCGAACGGGGAGGAGCCCAGAGCCUGAAUCAGUGUGUGUGUUAGUGGAAGCGUCUGGAAAGGCGCGCGAUACAGGGUGACAGCCCCGUACACAAAAAUGCACAUGCUGUGAGCUCGAUGAGUAGGGCGGGACACGUGGUAUCCUGUCUGAAUAUGGGGGGACCAUCCUCCAAGGCUAAAUACUCCUGACUGACCGAUAGUGAACCAGUACCGUGAGGGAAAGGCGAAAAGAACCCCGGCGAGGGGAGUGAAAAAGAACCUGAAACCGUGUACGUACAAGCAGUGGGAGCCCUGAUUUAUCAGGGUGACUGCGUACCUUUUGUAUAAUGGGUCAGCGACUUAUAUUCUGUAGCAAGGUUAACCGAAUAGGGGAGCCGGAGGGAAACCGAGUCUUAACUGGGCGUUAAGUUGCAGGGUAUAGACCCGAAACCCGGUGAUCUAGCCAUGGGCAGGUUGAAGGUUGGGUAACACUAACUGGAGGACCGAACCGACUAAUGUUGAAAAAUUAGCGGAUGACUUGUGGCUGGGGGUGAAAGGCCAAUCAAACCGGGAGAUAGCUGGUUCUCCCCGAAAGCUAUUUAGGUAGCGCCUCGUGAAUUCAUCUCCGGGGGUAGAGCACUGUUUCGGCAAGGGGGUCAUCCCGACUUACCAACCCGAUGCAAACUGCGAAUACCGGAGAAUGUUAUCACGGGAGACACACGGCGGGUGCUAACGUCCGUCGUGAAGAGGGAAACAACCCAGACCGCCAGCUAAGGUCCCAAAGUCAUGGUUAAGUGGGAAACGAUGUGGGAAGGCCCAGACAGCCAGGAUGUUGGCUUAGAAGCAGCCAUCAUUUAAAGAAAGCGUAAUAGCUCACUGGUCGAGUCGGCCUGCGCGGAAGAUGUAACGGGGCUAAACCAUG
rnacentral:rRNA from 1 species